rnacentral:rRNA from 1 species
GACGAACGCUGGCGGCGUGCUUAACACAUGCAAGUCGAACGAAGAGCGAUGGAAGCUUGCUUCUAUCAAUCUUAGUGGCGAACGGGUGAGUAACGCGUACUCAACCUGCCCUUCAGAGGGGGACAACAGUUGGAAACGACUGCUAAUACCGCAUACGAUCUAAUCUCGGCAUCGAGGAUAGAUGAAAGGUGGCCUCUACAUGUAAGCUAUCACUGAAGGAGGGGAUUGCGUCUGAUUAGCUAGUUGGAGGGGUAACGGCCCACCAAGGCGAUGAUCAGUAGCCGGUCUGAGAGGAUGAACGGCCACAUUGGGACUGAGACACGGCCCAGACUCCUACGGGAGGCAGCAGUGGGGAAUCUUCCGCAAUAGACGAAAGUCUGACGGAGCAACGCCGCGUGAGUGAUGACGGCCUUCGGGUUGUAAAGCUCUGUUAAUCGGGACGAAAGGCCUUCUUGCGAAUAGUGAGAAGGAUUGACGGUACCGGAAUAGAAAGCCACGGCUAACUACGUG